GUCCCUGUAGCGUAAUGGAUAGCGAGUUGAACCAUUAAUCCAAAUGUCGUGGAUUCGAAUCCCACCUGGGAUU